rnacentral:rRNA from 1 species
GACGAACGCUGGCGGCGUGCCUAAUACAUGCAAGUCGAGCAGACAGAAGGGAGCUUGCUCCCGGAAGUUAGCGGCGGACGGGUGAGUAACAUGUGGGCAACCUACCCUGUAGAUCGGGAUAACAUCGAGAAAUCGGUGCUAAUACCGGAUAAUCAUUUGAAGUGCAUGCUUCGAAUGUAAAAGAUGGCUCCGGCUAUCACUACGGGAUGGGCCCGCGGCGCAUUAGCUAGUUGGUAAGGUAAUGGCCUACCAAGGCAACGAUGCGUAGCCGACCUGAGAGGGUGAUCGGCCACACUGGGACUGAGACACGGCCCAGACUCCUACGGGAGGCAGCAGUAGGGAAUCUUCCGCAAUGGACGAAAGUCUGACGGAGCAACGCCGCGUGAGUGAUGAAGGUUUUCGGAUCGUAAAGCUCUGUUGUUAGGGAAGAACAAGUGCCGUUUGAAUAAGGCGGCACCUUGACGGUACCUAACCAGAAAGCCACGGCUAACUACGUGCCAGCAGCCGCCGUAACAC